AACGUAGGACGCAAGCGUUAUCCGGAGUUACUGGGCGUAAAGCGCGAGCAGGCGGCUCGACAAGUUCGCUGUGAAAGCUCCCGGCUCAACCGGGCGAGGCCAGUGGAAACUAUCGAGCUGGAGGGCAGUAGAGGCAGGCGGAAUUCCGGGUGGAGUGGUGAAAUGCGUAGAGAUCGGAAAGAACACCAACGGCGAAAGCACUCUGCUGGGCCGACACUGACACUGAGAGACGAAAGCUAGGGGAGCGAAUGGG
rnacentral:rRNA from 1 species